AAGAAGGCAAAUGGGUAGGAGAGAGGGAGAGGAACUAGGACGAGGAGAGUUAGGGAUUAGAAUAAGGCAAAUGUAGUCAUUUUAUAAUAGACUAAUGGCAAAAGGCUUUAAAAUUAGAUGGAAUGACAAAACAAUAAAUGGAACUAAAAGUUAGGGAUGUACUAGGGUAUAAACAAACCAAGUCAAGCUGAACUUUGAAGAACUUAGGCUUGGCUCAUAAAAAAAAUUUUGAUCUCAAGUUUA
rnacentral:misc_RNA from 1 species